GAUGAACGCUGGCGGCGUGCCUAAUACAUGCAAGUCGAGCGAACAGACGAGGAGCUUGCUCCUCUGACGUUAGCGGCGGACGGGUGAGUAACACGUGGAUAACCUACCUAUAAGACUGGGAUAACUUCGGGAAACCGGAGCUAAUACCGGAUAACAUGUUGAACCGCAUGGUUCAACAGUGAAAGACGGUCUUGCUGUCACUUAUAGAUGGAUCCGCGCCGCAUUAGCUAGUUGGUAAGGUAACGGCUUACCAAGGCAACGAUGCGUAGCCGACCUGAGAGGGUGAUCGGCCACACUGGAACUGAGACACGGUCCAGACUCCUACGGGAGGCAGCAGUAGGGAAGCUGCCGCAAUGGGCGAAAGCCUGACGGAGCAACGCCGCGUGAGUGAAGAAGGUUUUCGGAUCGUAAAACUCUGUUAUUAGGGAAGAACAAAUGUGUAAGUAACUAUGCACGUCCUGACGGUACCUAAUCAGAAAGCCACGGCUAACUACGUG
rnacentral:rRNA from 1 species